rnacentral:rRNA from 1 species
GACGAACGCUGGCGGCGUGCUUAACACAUGCAAGUCGAACGGGCCCGCCCCUGUUUUUGGGGGUGGGUUGAGUGGCGAACGGGUGAGUAUCACGUGAGUAACCUGCCCCCUGCUCCUGGAUAACUGCUUGAAAGGGCGGCUAAUACGGGGUGUGCCGGCUGGUCCGCAUGGGCCUGGUCGGGAUAGUUUCAUCUUCGGGUGUUUCGGUGGGGGAUGGGCUCGCGGCCUAUCAGCUUGUUGGUGGGGUGAUGGCCCACCAAGGCGGUGACGGGUAGCCGGCCUGAGAGGGUGGGCGGCCACACUGGGACUGAGACACGGCCCAGACUCCUGCGGGAGGCAGCAGUGGGGGGUAUUGCACAAUGGGCGGAAGCCAGAUGCAGCGACGUCGCGUGAGGGAUGGAGGCCUUCGGGUUGUGAACCUCUUUCUCCGGUGGUGAAGGCCCUGUCCGUUGCGGCGGGGUUGACGGUAGCCGGGGAUGAAGCGCCGGCUAACUACGUG